ACCGGACCUUCACUUAUACUUCAGGGAGACUAUUAUUUAAUGAGGGACGGCUGAAUGACACCAUUGUUGUACAGCUUCUUGAUGAUGUCACACCAGAGGACGGAGCUGAAUACAACGUUUUCUUGACGAACAUCCAAACUUUUGGUGUUGCGGCGCCAGGCCACGCCACGUUUGACGUUCAGGGCACCGUGGCGUUGUGGACAGUGGACACCAGCGACGAGCCGUACGGGCUGCUGACCGUUGCGCCAUCAUCCCUGAAGGUGACCACUGAGGAACGACAGCAAACCAUAAAUAUCUACAUCAACAGGGAGUUCGGCGUUUCAGGUGCUCUGAAUGUUACCUAUGAGGUUCUCAAAGGGUCCCUGGAAGACCUCUCCCAGGUCGAAGGGGCUCUAGCUGAACCAGGAAAAGACUUCUUGGCAGAAACUGGUUCUGUGAUUCUUCGGGAGGGUCAGACGUCUGUUGCUAUUCCUGUCACCAUCUUGGAGGAUGAUAUUCCAGAGUUGCAGGAAUAUUUCCUGAUCAACAUUACAUCUGCAGCACUCCUCACAACCCUCGCCACAGUUCCUCAACUCG